CUCGAAAGCGGGACUAUCGUCGGAAUACAAACACUUGUAUUGCUCUGACUUCAUUUCAUCUUCAUUCGUUUUGCUUUGGAGGAAAUAUGGCACGAAUGCUGAGCAAGGAGACUCCGGAUAUCGAGAGCUGCAUGAAGCUAGAGAACAAUUUUGAUGACAUCUCUGAGUGAGCGUGGAGCACUUCGGGAAGCGGUGAGGGAUGUGUGGCUGUCGCUGAGCGCUGCCAGAGCUCAGUGGUACUGUGAUUGUUCUGGGCGCUGGAGACACGGCCUUUGACUGCACUACUUCUGCCUUGCGCAGCGGCACCCAUCGUUUGUUUGUAGUCUUCAAGAAGGGAUUCAUCAACAUAUGAGCAGUUCCUGAGGAGCAGGUGAGGAGGAACAAGGUCAUGAUAGAUAGGACAGACAUGAUGUGAUAGAGGCCAUGGCUCCCAUCAGGUUAAACAGAUGGGGGCUUCCUGAGCUGGACCCAGAGAGCAUGCAGACUAGUGAGCCGUGGGUGUCCGCUGGGGGCGAUGUGGCCGGUCUACCACUGUGCAUGCAGUCAAUGACGGGAAACAGGCCUCCUGGCACAUUCACAGAUACUUACAGCUCUGUGUCGGUUGGCCUGUGUACACAGGAGAAGAGAACCAGCCGUGGUUUGAUUUUCCUGUCGUGGCUAUUCAUAAUGAUUAAUGCCCUGACUUGGGGCCACUCAGUGCAAUUAUGGCUCUUCAAGAUUUUAUUAUUUUAUUUGUCUGCUUUACAUCCUGCAGUGACUCUAAGGGCCCCACAGAAAUCAGAUACAGGACCAGAUCAAAUGUAAUCCACAAAAGCAUGCAUCUUUCCUGUUUUGUCAUUUUUUUAUAUAUAUUUUCUUUGGGUAGCAAGGGGAGGGUUUAUGUGAAUCUCUUAACUUCCCCUGUAGAAUCAUUUUUUUUUUAAAUUCUUCAUGCUGAAUAGCAAUUAUCCAUCAUGUUUUAACACAUCUAUACAUCAUAACAAGAAAUAUGCACAUUCUGUAGUCAUUUUGAAGUGUGAUGUUCAUUGUUAUUCUUUAUGUUUUUGUGAGUGUGGUUCUUCCAUACUAUAGUUAUACAAAUGCAAUGAGAGGAGACUAAUCUCGCAGAUCAAUUCUGGUGAUGCAGGCUGUCUGGAAAGCAGGUACGAUCCAUGCAGAAUGCUGAGCAUUUCACCCAAAUGAGUCUGUAAUGCAUUUAACAAGCAAGACUGAUGGUGUAAUUUGCAUUAGAAUAAGGCUUUGUGUUUUGUGUCAAAGGAAGGCUGGCACAACUAGUACAGGUGUUUUAUGUGAAAUACAUAAGCUUAAUGACCUGACUCCUAUUAUUGAGACAAUACAGUUGGACCACAAUGUUUCAAAUGGUUUCAAAGUCUAACAUAAACCUGGAAAUAAAGUUUUUUUUUUAUUAUUUGGGAAAAUACUAAAUAAUUAUUUAAUGUAUGCAGUUAGCAGACACUUUUAUCCAAAGUGACUUACAGUGCAUUAAGGCUAUGCAAUAUAUAUAUAUAUAAUUUUGUCAUAUUCAGCAUCAGCUUUUAUGCAAUCUUUUGUAGU